rnacentral:lncRNA from 1 species
UCAAGGUCAAAAUCCAACUAUUUUUGAGAAUCCUGAGAUCCAAUGAGCACAGUUCGAAGGCUGAAGAUAUUAACACUGGAGUAGGUGGCACACAGCCUCACAUCUCCUACCCAGACAGGCAGGUGCCAAGGACAUAGCAAAAGGCAGCAGUAUUUGUAUGUGAAAUUUCUACUUUAUAAAGCACAGCCAUGAGGCUACCUAUGUCUGCUAAAGCUGGAAAAUCCUUUUUUUUGUUUUGAAGAUCCUAGCUGGCUGCCUCCUUCCACUGAUGCUCCAGCCAGCAUUGGGGCACAGUGUGAUGGUCAGGGGCCAGGAGACGGCCAGCCCUUCACAGCUUUCCCUGGCAUCAACCCGAGGUAACUUAGCUGAUGCCCUGUGUCUCAGCUCUUCAUCUGGAAAUGGACUACACCUGUUGGUCUGGAUUGCAGCUGGAAUUGGAAGGGAAAUGCGUUUCCAUUGAAGGAAGAAGUAUAAGAGUGAGCAGGCAGGUAUCAGCAGAGCUCAAGAGAAUAAUGUCAACUUACAGGCAGGAGGAGGCAGACCAGCUAGGCAGACGUGCAGAAGUUAAGUGUGGUUUCAUGCAGAAACUUCCAAGUGGAUUCAAGAGCCAAAGACUUCAAGAAGUUGGUGUAAUUGUCACGUGGAAUAUGUUUGUAUUAAUUCAGAUCAUACCUACAAACAAUAUGGAGGAUUCAGAGAUAGGAGUUCCGGAGACGUGGGUCUGAUUCCAGCUUUGCCUCCUGCUAAAUAUCUAAUCCUGGGCAAGUCAUGUAGCCUCUGGGUGUUCCAGUCGGGCCACCUUUAAAAUGGGAAUAAUUCUGUCUACUUCACUUAUCUCAUAGAGCCAGGUGAGGACAUUCAUAUUUUGGCAUAUAAUGUAAUAAGGUUGUAGAUAAAGCGUUUAUUAGGAUAACGUCUUGGCUAACAGGUUGGGCAGACCAGUUGACAUCCUCAGGGUAUCAUUAGAAGAACCCGAAGGUCUUAUCCAAGUGUGUUUCCCACCAAUAAUUCUCACAUUUCCACCUUUAGAUCUUUUGUUAAGGAUCCUGUGGGAAACGUAGAUAGCAUAGGUUAUUAACCCCAUCAAGUCACAUUUCUAUUUCAAUCUACUUAUUUCACAUUUUUGUUACAACUUUUGAAGAAAAUGAAUUUCUUAUUGAAUUCAUUUUAGACUGCUAUUAGCUCAGAUUCACUUUGUGAGUUAGAAUGCCUCUUAGAAAUGUAACACCCAGGGAAAACUUCCGGGUGAGUCUUUCUUUUUUGAUAGUGCCACAUGAGUCCGCAGUUGGCUAACCCCCAUGAACAUGGACUUCAUCUUCUUUAGAUGCUUUAGGACAUGUGGCUAUGCAGUUAGGGAGCUGAGAUCGGAGGCAGGGGAGUGUAGGAAAAGUAAGUGAUCGUGGAGAGUGGAGUCAGAAGACAGGGUGGGGGAAGGAUGGUUCUGGAGCACUUCGUGUUCUGUCCCAGCCCGAUGAGGCCCAGGAGAACUUUCUCCAGCCGAGGAGGCCCAGGUGAACUUUCUCCACGUGGGGAGCUGUCGAGAACUUGAGCUUCCAGCAUAAACACAGGCUGAACCUGGCUUUGGGGAAUGUGGGCCUCCAGCCCAUUUACAAAAUAUCACCCUUUUUGUAUGGCUUGGAGGAGACUCUGGAGUGACUUAUGAAUUCCGUGGAGCCCUGCUGUAGCCAUUGGCAGUUCCCAAGCAGGAAGCCAGUGUCUCCAUUUCUUCCCAAAAUUCUCCCAACCACAUCCCACUUCACCUCCUGGCUGAGACAUCUUUUACUAUGAUCAUUUUACUGGUAGGAAAAAUGGGGUGCUAGAAAAGUUACCUGACUUUGCUGAAAUUCACACACUAGUUAAUGGCGGGGCUGGUGCUGGAGCCAAUGUUGGGCCUCAUAAAUGCCUACGAAAUGUGCUGAGACUGGCCACUCUUUUCUGCAGGCCGUCCUCAGGGUAGUUCAUGUAGCUGAUGACCUUGAGAAAUGAGGUAAUGUCUUCCCUCAUCCCCAAAGAGCAGACUUUCUUACUAUUUGCUAUAAAAGCAGUGGAUUCCCCAAACUCAGUGUUCCUCGGCUGUGACACAAACCCCCUUCAUGUGUGUAUUAAUUGAUCUGAGCCUGUUGGGUCAUUUCUGUGGAACUCAAGGGCAAGUGUAACUGAUGA